ensembl:lncRNA LINC00411 long intergenic non-protein coding RNA 411
AAGUGUUGGGGUGCCUUAAUGCUUGAUGUUAGACCAUCUACUCUUCUCACUUAAUAACCUUUCUCUGAGGCAUCUCAAUCAGAGCUGUGGCCUCAACUGCUUAACAGAGGCAUGUGAAAAGUGCUGCAGGAGUGUUCAGCCGAGUGCGUGACUAUGUCAUGUGAAAAGUAGCUUGAUUUGGGGUCACUGCUAUUCAGUGGAAAAUUUAACCUUGGGAUGGAUAAUGCAGCCCAAAUUUGAACUCUGAAAGACUAUUCACUGGAUUGGAAGACCAAUAGAUACCAAUAAAUUAAAAGUAAUUGCUGUUUAUCCUUCAUCAAAAUUACCAUUAUUCUACAAGGUGGCCCUCCAGAGUUAGUGAACUGUGACCUCCACAUGGGAUUUGGACAUGCGUGCCCUACAUCUGGAAUGCAGAAACACUCUUCACAGAACUCUGAUAGCCCAGGAAUAUUUAUGUAAAUCUCUGUCCUGAUAAAAGCAGCUUUGAGAUCAGCAUGGAGGAAGAAGGAAUAGGAAGAAGCUGCUCUGAACUCCCUCCAGAAACACCUACAUUUACAUCCAAGGCACCAGCUGUUGAGUUUCCCUGACUUGAGAAAUGGCAUCGCUCUUGGCCAACAUCUCCCAAGGAGACUAAAUAGAAUAUUAAUGUAUUAGUAGAAUAUUAAUAUUAAUAUAUUAGUAGAAUAU